GUCCUGCCAACACCUGAGGUGCUGGGCUACUUCUAUCUUUCCCUCCAGACCUUUGGACAGACCCGACAGAUCCUUUUGUCUCUGCUUGUGGCGGCACAGCUACAGAGGGGUGGAAGCAGGAUUGAAUAAUGAUGACAAAGAUGAGCUCUCUUCUCCUCUUGAUGAGGCUACAGCGCAUAGCUCUUCUCUCUUGACCCAGAGUCUCAUCAAGUCUCUGCCUCGCCAUCACCAGGUCUUUCUGAGCCUUUUCCUGUAGCUGGUCUAUUUGCUCGGUGGGAAGAGUGCUCCCUCUAGUGGAAAGAAAACAGAAUCUGUAUCCUGUAACCCUGUAUCCUCAUUUGUUUAGAACUGCAUACACACCUUACAAUUAAGCUGCUCAAGACACCUUUCCAAUGAAUAGCUAGAAACAUUUAGUCAAUAUAGAAAAUUAGCACUAAAAUGCUGUAAUGCAAGUCUGUUCAAUAGUGGUCAUAAGUAAGCAUAUAGGUAAGAAUUUUUUGUCUCUAAGUCGGUAGCAUCAGUAUAUUUUUGCUACAGUUUCAUGUUAUUAAAAGCAUCAAGAUCCAACCUGUACUUCAGAGUUCAGUAUGUUUACUGACAAACCUUAAAAGCAUUUAAAGUUGUAUUUAAUGUAAGAAUAAAGUUAGGUGUGAGGUUGUACCUGCACUUAGCACUAACCUCCUAAUGUGAAUAAACCAGCUGUCCAGAUUUCUAGAGGUACUGGAAAAGAUGUCUGUAAUUAGGCUAUUGAGACUGUGGAGACUGUGCAGCAGGAACUUCCUCUGUGCUUGCCGUUCAGACAGCACACAACGCUGAUUGGCAAGGAUCACAUCCAGAACUUCUUCUAGCUGAUCCUGGAAACAAGACAUUAUAUAAAAAAGUUCCUCUGCAAAGAUCUUGUGGAGUUCCACCCGGCGCCACUCAAUGAUCUGUCUUUGGACCUUUGCUGAGGCUUCUUCAUGUCGAACUAACAGUAUGCGCUGGAGCCGACUCUGACUCAACUUGUGCAGCUUCUCCAGGAGGACACUGCACUGGAGGAGCGCCUACAUUACAAAGGGUUUACAGCUUAGCUACAGAAGAUGAUAGAACUGAUUACAGGGGAAAUGUUCACAUCCAUAAGAAUGUUCAUUUCUUAAUAUUAUUGUAAAGAUAAAUUACAAGGAAAUCAUCCGUUCCAUUUUCUUCUCUAUUUGAAAUGUGAUAUUUUUGAUAUUCCAAACAUACUUUUCAAGCAAAUAUGUAAGAACAAAGUACCUGUUGGUCUGCAUGUUUACACAGCAACUCAGCCUGAGCUUUUUCAGCGGUUUCCCGGCAGUGCUCUGCUUCCAUUUCUUCCCGUGUUUCCAGGUUACAACGAGCAGCCAGAGCAGCCAUGCGGGCCCCUCUCUCUUCCUUCAGCCGACCUUCCAUCCCCUGAAGCUGUCCGUGGAGCACACUGAGCAGCCUCUGCUGCGCCUGGGAGCUGGCCUGGCCCUGGUUCUUCAGGCCGGCCAGGAGCGAGGACAUCACGUCCUUGUAGAUCUGAAUUCGGGUGGUUUCCAGGUUACUAGUGGCUCGCAGCAGCGUAGACAUCUCAAGACUUGUAGAGAUAGAAAUUAUAAUAAUAAAUGUUUUUGUACUUUAUCAACAGUUAAAAUAAUUAUUGAAAUGAACUCAAACUAAUUAAUGAACCCAUUAAUCUAUUGCAAUACUUUCAGUUAUUGCACAUAUAAACACACUCAUGUUAGUUGCAGCUAAUCUAAUUUGUUGCAAGUCACUGUCCCAUAAAAUUAUUUUAAACCUUAUAGGGAAAGUAAACAUAAAUCAUGUAAAUGAUCAUGUAAACAGAAAUCACUGGGUCACUCACUUCUCCAAAGCCUGAUACAUGUUUUGGGGGUCUUCCAGUACCAUGAUGUCAACCAUCUUGUCUUCAAAUGCUGCCUCCUCUUUAACGGUCUCACUUAUGUUGCAGUCUGCAUACUCUGGGUCUGAGUCACCUCUGUUUCUCUGAAGCGAUAAAAUUAACAUAACUAUUUGACAUACAAUAAAAUAUUUACACCUAC